rnacentral:misc_RNA from 1 species
GAUGAAGAACGUAGCGAAAUGCGAUAAGUAAUGUGAAUUGCAGAAUUCAGUGAAUCAUCGAAUCUUUGAACGCACAUUGCGCCCGCUGGUACUCCGGCGGGCACGCCUGUCCGAGCGUCAUUUCAACCCUCAAGCCCUCCUUCGGGAUGGGCCUGGUGUUGGGGCUCGGCCGCCAUCUCCGGCGGCCGUCCCCUAAAUACAGUGGCGGUCACGUCGCGACUCCUUUGCGUAGUAGAAACACCUCGCUCCGGAUAGCAACGCGGUCCACGCCGUAAAACCACCAAUUUUCAAUGGUUGACCUCGGAUCAGGUGGGAAUACCCGCUGAACUUAAGCAUAUCAAUAAGCGGAGGA